GAUGAAGAACGUAGCGAAAUGCGAUAAGUAAUGUGAAUUGCAGAAUUCAGUGAAUCAUCGAAUCUUUGAACGCACAUUGCGCCCGCCAGUAUUCUGGCGGGCAUGCCUGUUCGAGCGUCAUUUCAACCAUCAAGCCCCAGGCUUGUGUUGGGGACCUGCGGCUGCCGCAGGCCCUGAAAACCAGUGGCGGGCUCGCUGUCACACCGGGCGUAGUAGAUUUUAUCUCGCUCAGGGCGUGCUGCGGGUUCCGGCCGUUAAACCACCUUCAUAACCCAAGGUUGACCUCGGAUCAGGUAGGAAGACCCGCUGAACUUAAGCAUAUCAAUAAGCGGAGGA
rnacentral:misc_RNA from 1 species